CACGUAGGGUGCGAGCGUUGUCCGGAAUUAUUGGGCGUAAAGAGCUCGUAGGCGGCUUGUCGCGUCGGAUGUGAAAGCCCGGGGCUUAACUCCGGGUCUGCAUUCGAUACGGGCAAGCUAGAAUUCGGUAGGGGAGACUGGAAUUCCUGGUGUAGCGGUGAAAUGCGCAGAUAUCAGGAGGAACACCGGUGGCGAAGGCGGGUCUCUGGGCCGAAAUUGACGCUGAGGAGCGAAAGCGUGGGGAGCAAACAGG
rnacentral:rRNA from 1 species